UGCAUCCAAUUAGCCCCUUCCAUCAGGGGACCAGGCAUGCGAGCAAAACCCACCAGGACCGUCCAGACCAGUUGAGCACUGAAUGACCCAGUCCGUUCAACACGCUGGGUCCUGCCUACAUUCCAGACUCACAAAACCAUGAUGGGAAAUGAUGAGAAGCUGUGGGUCUCAGCGGUGCUGAAGACUUCAGAGAUUCCAUAUAUAUGUGUUAGCAUAUUCCAUCGCGGCCUCCAGAUUGCCACCUGGGAGGCCAGACUGACUCGCCCGGCAAGGCUGUUUGCUGGAAAACUCGCCAGCUUACCUGGGCUCUCCUGCGGCUGCCCUGCUCCCGCCAGCACCUAAUCAUACAGGAAAAAAGGUUCCUUCCUUCAAAUCACAAUUUCCCAAGCUGGUCUUCUGCUGAUCCCUUGAAGUCUGGAAACACUGCAUGGAUUAAACAAAGGCAGAAAACUUCCUUCUGCAGUACUUUUGGGGGUCUCGCCGUGCUAAUGAGCACUGUGGACCACUGAGAAGAAAAUGGCACUCCUCACACUGGACUACCAAACAAUUUGGUUCCCCUCCACCACCCCUGGAAGAAACAUCUUCUGGAACGAAUUCUAUGGAAAGUGGUUUGAAAAAACACUGUUCUCCAGAACUAACUGGUUCUUCUUUUCUUUGGACGCAGCGAGAUCUGUACAUAACAGAUCUCAUUAAAGCUUUUUCUUUUUUAAUCUGCUCCAGGGUUUGAUUCCUGGCUUUGCCCUUAUUUUGGCUGUGUGACCUUAAACAAUUGCCUCAGUCUCUGAGAUUGUUUUGCAUCCAUCAGACGGAGACAGUACCUACCUCUCUAGGUUGUUAGAGGAAUCAAAUAAGAACGUAAAAUGCCUAGCACAGUACUUGGUACACAGUUGGUGCUUAAUAAAUGUGCAUCUUCUUUCUUUACCAAAUAUAUUGACAUCAAAUCCUUCUGGAAGAAGCAGGCAUCUCUCUCUCUAACCCCCACAAUGCUGGCACGUGCUGUGUCCAUCAUGGACUUGAAGUAUUUGCUAAAUGCAUGGAUGAAUGAAUCAUCAAUGCCCUGCUAGACCCCCAUCCCUGAGCCACACAAAUCCAGGGUAGAUGACCCGUGACAAUGGGACAGUCAUAAAAUGGGAAGAGUUCUGGCGCUUACAACUCGAUAUCUAGAAGAAUAAUUUUCACCAAACCCCCCCCCCAAUAGAUAUUUAAAGUGCAAGGCAAGGAGAUGUAAGUGUUCCUAAUCUUUGCUUAAGGACACUGAUGACAUGAUGUUGCUUUCCUAGUGCAGGCAGAUGGACGAUCCUAACUCAGAAAGCAUUAAUGCAGAGAGAACAAUCAGUACACACAGAAAACCCAGCACUUGGACCUUGGAACGAGGCCACAGGGGUUUGAAUCAGAGUCCAGUCAAGUGUGACCUUGACCUCCUCACAUCUCGGUUCCCCGUCUCAGCACCUACUUGUAGGGCUGUGAUGAGGAUUCAAGUUAACGGAUGAGAUGUGCUCAGAGCAAUGCUGAGAUCAUAGUAAGCAAGCAAUAAAUAUGGACUGCUAUUAUAGUCAUGGUAAUUGACACUUAUUAAUGCCUCAUCAUAAACCCU